UGACACAGGGAGGUAGUGACAAGAAAUAACAAUACAGGGCUAUUUUAGUCUUGUAAUUGGAAUGAGUACAAUUUACAUCUCUUCACGAGGAUCAAUUGGAGGGCAAGUCUGGUGCCAGCAGCCGCGGUAAUUCCAGCUCCAAUAGCGUAUAUUAAAGUUGUUGCAGUUAAAACGCUCGUAGUCGGGUUUCGGGUCGGGCCGAGCGGUCUGCCGAUGGGUAUGCACUGUUUGGCGCGGCCUUCUUUCCGAAGACCGCGGCUACUCUUAACUGAGCGGGCGUGGGAGACGGAUCGUUUACUUUGAAAAAAUCAGAGUGUUUCAAGCAGGCAGUCGCUCUUGCAUGGAUUAGCAUGGGAUAAUGAAAUAGGACUCUGGUGCUAUUUUGUUGGUUUCGACC
rnacentral:rRNA from 1 species